CAGCAGCCGCGGGAAUACGUAGGGUGCGAGCGUUAAUCGGAAUUACUGGGCGUAAAGCGUGCGCAGGUGGUUUUGUAAGACAGGCGUGAAAUCCCCGGGCUCAACCUGGGAAUGGCGCUUGUGACUGCAAAGCUAGAGUGCGGCAGAGGGGGAUGGAAUUCCGCGUGUAGCAGUGAAAUGCGUAGAUAUGCGGAGGAACACCGAUGGCGAAGGCAAUCCCCUGGGCCUGCACUGACGCUCAUGCACGAAAGCGUGGGGAGCAAACAGGAUUAGAUACCCGAGUAGUCCCUGUCUCUUACAC
rnacentral:rRNA from 1 species